AGCACAGCCACGUGUUGCCGCGCAGCUCCCCGAGGCCGCGGUGGCGCAGCCGCUUUGCAGCACUCAGGAGGUGUGGUGGAGGCUUUCUGCCCCCUGUUUCCCACCCCAUCACACCCAUGGCAGAGCUCAGGCUCGUUCUGCCACUGGCACAGAUUCCUCUGCAGCCAGCACGGUGAGCACAGCCAGCAUGGAGCGGGUGACAGCAUUAAGAAAACCACCACGGGUGACUAAACCAGCCCCAACCCUGAAGAUGCAGCUUGGCCAGGAAAAAAUCAGAGAGCUACAAAUCACAGGCGGCUCUUCCGUAGGUCACUCAACUGCAAACCCCAAGGAAAGCCAAAGCUCACCUCCUGCCCAGCCCCCGGAGGGGGGGGGGGGGGUU